AUCAACGGGUGGGCCUAGGUGGGGAGACCUUCGGGUCUGCCGGUGCCAACGUUCCGGUUCGCCAACCCUGCUUAGUGCCCGCCCACCCAU
rnacentral:antisense_RNA from 1 species